CAAGAYCUUGCGCUUUUGGAGCGGCCGAUGCCUGAHUAGCUAGBUNGUGGGGUAAAGGCCUACCAAGGCGUCGAUCAGUAGUUGGUCUGAGAGGACGACCAGCCACACUGGGACUGAGACACGGCCCAGACUCCUACGGGAGGCAGCAGUNGGGAAUUUUGGACAAUGGGCGCAAGCCUGAUCCAGCAAUGCCGCGUGAGUHAAGAAGGCCUUCGGGUUGUGAAGCUCUUUCAGUCGAGAAGAAAAGAUUACGACUAAHAAUCGUAAUUCAUGACGGUACCGACAGAAGAAGCACCGGCUAACUACGUGCCAGCAGCCGCGGUAAUACGUAGGGUGCGAGCNUUAAUCGGAAUUACUGGGCGUAAAGGGUGCGCAGGCGGCUUUGUAAGUCAGAUGUGAAAUCCCCGGGCUUAACCUGGGAACU
rnacentral:rRNA from 1 species